rnacentral:tRNA from 1 species
CAGGGAAUAGUUUAUUAAUAAAAUAUUAAUUUUGGGAGUUAAUGAAGAGGGUAUCUUUUUCUCUGA